rnacentral:tRNA from 1 species
AGGGAUUUAGCUCAGUGGCAGGAGUGCCUGCCUAGCAGGCAGGAGAUUAUGAGUUUGAUUCCAAAUAACCCCCA